GUCCAUGCCGUAAACGAUGUCUACUAGCCGUUGGGGCCUUUGAGGCUUUAGUGGCGCAGCUAACGCGAUAAGUAGACCGCCUGGGGAGUACGGUCGCAAGACUAAAACUCAAAUGAAUUGACGGGGGCCCGCACAAGCGGUGGAGCAUGUGGUUUAAUUCGACGCAACGCGAAGAACCUUACCUGAUCUUGACAUCGUAAGAACCUCACUGAAGGGUGAGGGUGCCUUCGGGAACUUACAGACAGGUGCUGCAUGGCUGUCGU
rnacentral:rRNA from 1 species